rnacentral:rRNA from 1 species
UACGUAGGGCGCAAGCGUUGUCCGGAAUUAUUGGGCGUAAAGAGCGCGCAGGCGGUCGUGCAAGUCGCGUGUGAAAGCCCCCGGCUCAACUGGGGAGGGUCACGCGAUACUGCUCGACUCGAAGGCAGGAGAGGGAAGUGGAAUUCCCGGUGUAGUGGUGAAAUGCGUAGAUAUCGGGAGGAACACCAGUGGCGAAGGCGACUUCCUGGCCUGUUCUUGACGCUGAGGCGCGAAAGCUAGGGUAGCAAACGGG